UACGGGGGGGGCAAGCGUUGUUCGGAAUUACUGGGCGUAAAGGGCUCGUAGGUGGCCAACUAAGUCAGACGUGAAAUCCCUCAGCUUAACUGGGGAACUGCGUCUGAUACUGGAUGGCUUGAGUUUGGGAGAGGGAUGCGGAAUUCCAGGUGUAGCGGUGAAAUGCGUAGAUAUCUGGAGGAACACCGGUGGCGAAGGCGGGUCUCUGGGCCGAAACUGACGCUGAGGAGCGAAAGCGUGGGGAGCGAACAGG
rnacentral:rRNA from 1 species